GCUGAUUUCCAAGCUGGAUUUCUAGAACAAAGCAGUAAAGCUUUCUGCUGCUUACAGUUCUCUGAAAUCCUACAAGACUGGCAUUGUAAGGAUUGCUGUUUUCCACCUGCUUCCCGGGAUCCAUUAAUGUCAAAUGGUUCCCUUAUGACCUACAGUCUGGAGAUGUAUUUCUUCUGCCUAGGUUCUCUCUGGAUUGGGCAGGGGUACUUCAUCCCCUUUUGAAAGCCCUGCUCAAGAGAGAUGCCUAACAUGCUGGCUGUGUUUGCCCACUUUGUUCCUUCCUUCACCUGAUCCCACUUGUUAGGCCUGUUGGCUGAAGCAGAAGUGUUGUGCGUGGAAGUGGGUUGAGCAGGAGCCAGUGCCAGUUCUCAGACGUGUCUUUUAAAUUACACAGACUGAUUCCAAAGGUCAAGGGAAAGUGUUGGCUGACUUGACUCUUCCUGCUGCAGUCGGCAAGAGUUUGGAUGCGCGCUCUGUUGCAGUGGAGCACUGCAAAGGUACCCUGCCAGCAGCAGGAGCAGAGCAGAAGGAAUAUUUUGUCCCUUCUUCUAAGAAUAAGCUUUCUACACUGGAGGCAGAAGAUCUUCAGCUAAGACCUGAUUCUUCAAGUCAAACCGAUUCUCAGGUGGACAGACAGGUGACUCUAAUUGAGGCAGAAGCACAUAUCCCUAAAUAGAGCCUGUCAGUGUAAGCAGAGGUGUUCUUACUAUGGAAUUCAUUUCGAAAUACUGCUGAGAGGAGGUGAUUGAGUCUGGACCUGUGCUAUACUUCAGACCUCAUUUUGUUUGC